AGCCCGGUGGCGGAUGGUCCGCGUCUGCUGAACUUGUCAAAGUCUUCAAGAUUCCAAGGUUUGCAGAAGACGCUCGUUCGACUCGAGCCUGGGCUA